rnacentral:rRNA from 1 species
AAAUGAAUAGACGGGGGCCCGCACAAGCAGCGGAGCAUGUGGUUUAAUUCGAAGCAACGCGAAGAACCUUACCAGGGCUUGACAUGGCCGUGGCGUACCUGGAGACAGGUAUUUCCCUUUGGGACGCGGUCACAGGUGGUGCAUGGUUGUCGUCAGCUCGUGUCGUGAGAUGUUGGGUUAAGUCCCGCAACGAGCGCAACCCUUAUCGCUAGUUGCUAACGCGUAAUGGCGAGCACUCUAGGGAGACUGCCGGGGACAACUCGGAGGAAGGUGGGGAUGACGUCAAAUCAUCAUGCCCCUUAUGUCCUGGGCUACACACGUGCUACAAUGGCCGGAACAGAGGGCUGCGAGGGAGCAAUCCGGAGCCAAUCCCAAAAACCCGGUCCCAGUUCGGAUUGUGGGCUGCAACCCGCCCACAUGAAGUCGGAGUUGCUAGUAAUCGCGGAUCAGCCAUGCCGCGGUGAAUGCGUUCCCGGGCCUUGUACACACCGCCCGU